GAUGAACGCUGGCGGCGUGCCUAAUACACGCAAGUCGAGCGAACGGACGAGAAGCUUGCUUCUCUGAUGUUAGCGGCGGACGGGUGAGUAACACGUGGAUAACCUACCUAUAAGACUGGGAUAACUUCGGGAAACCGGAGCUAAUACCGGAUGAUAUUUUGAACCGCAUGGUUCAAAAGUGAAAGACGGUCUUGCUGUCACUUAUAGAUGGAUCCGCGCUGCAUUAGCUAGUUGGUAAGGUAACGGCUUACCAAGGCAACGAUGCAUAGCCGACCUGAGAGGGUGAUCGGCCACACUGGAACUGAGACACGGUCCAGACUCCUACGGGAGGCAGCAGUAGGGAAUCUUCCGCAAUGGGCGAAAGCCUGACGGAGCAACGCCGCGUGAGUGAUGAAGGUCUUCGGAUCGUAAAACUCUGUUAUUAGGGAAGAACAUAUGUGUAAGUAACUGUGCACGUCUUGACGGUACCUAAUCAGAAAGCCACGGCUAACUACGUG
rnacentral:rRNA from 1 species